rnacentral:tRNA from 1 species
GCCGGCCUGGUGGGCUCGCUGGGCUUCAACAUCGGCGCCGGCGCCU